rnacentral:rRNA from 1 species
UUGGAGGGCAAGUCUGGUGCCAGCAGCCGCGGUAAUUCCAGCUCCAAUAGCGUAUAUUAAAGUUGUUGCAGUUAAAAAGCUCGUAGUUGAAUUUCGGGGUCAGUAGGUUGGUCAUGCCACUGGUAUGUACUGGUCUCACUGAUUCCUCCUUCCUGAUGAGCCGUAAUGCCAUUAAUUUGGUGUUGCGAGGAAUCUGGACUGUUACUUUGAAAAAAUUAGAGUGUUUAAAGCAAGCUAACGCUUGAAUACAUUAGCAUGGAAUAAUGAAAUAGGACGUUCAAUCCUAUUUUGUUGGUUUCUAGGAUUGACGUAAUGAUUAAUAGGGAUAGUUGGGGGCAUUAGUAUUCAAUUGUCAGAGGUGAAAUUCUUGGAUUUAUUGAAGACUAACUACUGCGAAAGCAUUUGCCAAGGAUGUUUUCAUUAAUCAAGAACGAAAGUUAGGGGAUCGAAGACGAUCAGAUACCGUCGUAGUCUUAACCAUAAACUAUGCCGACUAGGGAUCGGAUGAUGUUAAUUUUUUAAUGACUCAUUCGGCGCCUUACGGGAAACCAAAGUGUUUGGGUUC